GCUUAUGCACAACAAAUAUGCUGUAAACUGGUCAGAGUCGGAAGGCAGCAGCCAUACCAGCCACUAUUUGUGUGUGCUUUUUUAUU
rnacentral:SRP_RNA from 1 species